UACGAAGGGGGCUAGCGUUGCUCGGAAUGACUGGGCGUAAAGGGCGCGUAGGCGGUUUGUACAGUCAGACGUGAAAUUCCUGGGCUUAACCUGGGGGCUGCGUUUGAUACGUGCAGGCUUGAGUAUGGAAGAGGGUCGUGGAAUUCCCAGUGUAGAGGUGAAAUUCGUAGAUAUCGGGAGGAACACCUGUGGCGAAAGCGGCGCACUGGACCAUAACUGACGCUGAUGCGCGAAAGCUAGGGGAGCAAACAGG
rnacentral:rRNA from 1 species